rnacentral:tRNA from 1 species
GAUUGGGUAGCUUAAGAUCACUUAAAGCUCUAAACUUUUAAUUUAGCAAUGGUAAUGCGUACCCCCAACCA